CUCCGCCGGGUUCUCCCCGCCCUCUCGCCGCGCGGUAGCCCGGCGACCACCCUUUGCCCGUAAAGUCUGCGGAGCGCCCCCUCCCCGGGCAGCGGGACCUGGCAGGCGGGGGCUGGGCGUGCAGGCGCCUGCCCGCUGUGCUGGCCGGCCUUGCCCCGGGGGCCGCGCGGGGCGGAGACUGGGCGGCGGGGGCGGGCGCCAGUCUAGGUGGCAGGUCCGCGCGCAGCCUUCUCCAGCCGAACCUCGCGGAGCAGCUGCCGCCACCGCGCGCCCCUGGCUCGGCCGGAGUGGCCUCUGGCCGGGUCUCCAGGGGGCAGCGACUCCGCACGCCGCAGGCUCCGGAAAGGAGACACCUGCAUUUGCCACAAUGCUCUCAUCCAGCGACUUUGCGUCUGCUUCUUGGGAACUCGUGAUCCAAGUUGACCAUCCAAAUGAAGAGGAGCAGAAGGACGUCACACUGAGAGUGUCUGGAGAUCUGCACAUUGGGGGAGUGAUGCUCAAGUUAGUGGAACAGAUCAACAUAGCCCAGGACUGGUCAGACUUUGCCCUUUGGUGGGAACAGAAGCACUGCUGGCUUCUGAAAACUCACUGGACCCUGGACAAAUGUGGGGUCCAGGCAGAUGCAAAGCUUCUCUUCACCCCUCAGCAUAAAAUGCUUCGCCUCCGCCUGCCCAAUGUGAAGACAGUGCGACUGCGAGUCAGCUUCUCGGCCGUGGUCUUCAGAGCGGUCAGCGACAUCUGCAGAGCCCUGAAUAUUAGAAGAGCAGAAGAAGUUUCCUUGUUAAAGCCUUCUGGUGAAUAUUUUAAAAAGAAGAAAAGAAAAGAAAAAAAUAAUAAGGAGCCCAUAAUUGAAGAUAUUUUAAGCCUGGAGUGUUCUCCAACAAAUUCAGGUCCACCAGUAAGUCCUGGCUUAUACAGUAGAACCAUGACCCCCACAUAUGACCCCAUCAACGGAACGCCAGCGUCAUCCACAAUGACUUGGUUUAGUGACAGCCCUUUGACUGAACAAAACUGCAGUAUCCUUGCAUUCAGCCAGCCCCCUCAGUCACCAGAAGCUCUUGCUGACAUGUACCAGCCUCGGUCUCUGGUUGACAAAGCCAAGCUUAACACAGGUUGGCUAGACUCCUCACGUUCCCUUAUGGAACAAGGCAUCCAGGAGGAUGAGCAGCUGCUGUUACGAUUUAAAUACUACACUUUCUUUGACUUGAAUCCCAAAUACGAUGCUGUCCGAAUAAACCAACUCUAUGAACAAGCCAGGUGGGCCAUUCUCUUAGAAGAAAUUGACUGCACAGAGGAAGAAAUGUUGAUCUUCGCAGCACUACAGUAUCACAUUAGCAAACUGUCGUUGUCUACUGAAAUACAGGAUUUUACAAAUGAGUCUGAGGUCGACGAAGUAGAAGCAGCACUUUCUAAUUUGGAAGUGACCCUGGAAGGUGGAAAAGCAGACAACACUUUGGAGGACAUUACUGAUAUCCCUAAACUUGCAGAUAAUCUCAGAUUAUUUAGGCCCAAGAAGCUAAUAUUAAAAGCUUUCAAACAAUAUUGGUUCGUCUUUAAAGACACGUCUAUAGCCUACUUUAAAAAUAAGGAACUUGAACAAGGAGAACCAGUAGAAAAACUAAAUCUUAGAGGCUGUGAAGUUGUACCAGAUGUAAAUGUAGCAGGGAGAAAAUUUGGAAUCAAGUUACUAAUCCCGGUUGCUGAUGGUAUGAAUGAAGUAUAUCUGAGAUGUGACCAUGAGAGUCAGUAUGCCCAGUGGAUGGCUGCCUGCAUCUUGGCAUCAAAGGGCAAAACCAUGGCAGACAGCUCCUACCAGCCAGAGGUCCUUAACAUCCUUUCAUUUCUGAGGAUGAAAAACCGGAACUCAGCAUCUCAGGUGGCUUCCAGUCUCGAAAACAUGGAUAUGGACCCGGAAUGUUUUGUGUCACCUAGGUGUGCAAAAAAGCACAAGUCUAAACAGCUGGCAGCCCGCAUCCUGGAAGCCCAUCAGAACGUGGCCCAGAUGCCCCUGGUCGAAGCCAAGCUGCGGUUCAUUCAGGCAUGGCAGUCUCUACCUGAAUUCGGCCUCACCUACUACCUUGUCAGAUUUAAAGGAAGCAAGAAAGAUGACAUUCUGGGAAUUUCAUAUAACAGGUUGAUUAGAAUCGAUGCAACCACUGGGAUUCCAAUUACAACAUGGAGAUUUACAAAUAUGAAACAGUGGAAUGUAAACUGGGAAAUCCGGCAGGUGGCGAUCGAAUUUGACCAGAAUGUCUCCAUCGCAUUCACCUGCCUGAGUGCGGAUUGCAAAGUCGUGCAUGAGUACAUUGGGGGCUACAUUUUCCUGUCCACCCGCUCCAAGGACCAGAAUGAAACGCUCGACGAGGACCUGUUCCACAAGUUGACCGGCGGCCAGGAGUGAGCAAAGCAGGCCUGCUGGGCCUACACAGAGGGCGGGCCUACCCGGACGUUGGGUCAACAGCCUGCACCAUGUGUACAUUCCAGGCUGACAGCAUAUAUUCACCACCGGACACCCAGACCCUCGCCUCAUUUCCAGCACCCUGCCUAGCACAUCCCUCUCCUCACUCUGCCCUCUGCUACCCCUGUGGAAGGGGCCUCAGUUCACCUCUUCUGUAACGCGGGGCGGGAGAGAGGACACUGCUCGGCAUUGCUCUAAGGCUCCGCGUGUAGCUAUGCCCUGCAGAACCUGCAAGUGCAUGGCUAGAAGCUGUCCGUGUGCUUAUCUGCUUUGUUGCUAAGUCAAAGGAAAGACAGGUUAAAUGCACAUGUAGCAAGGACAGAUCUCAUUCCCCAAACUCAGCUUCUAUUCUGGGUUGGGGCUCAGGAAGAUGGGCUCCAUUCUCUCUUCAUGAAAACCACCUCCCAGCAUCAAGGCUUCCAGUGAGGUCUCCAUCCCAACCAGUCCGGGAGAGAAGAACAGGACACAGGGCAGCCCCGUCCCCAAAGACCACCAACUUAAGGGCUCUCAGCUUCCCCAGGGGCUUCUGUCUACUUACGGCCUUUGGCUGGUCUGUGGGGUAAGGAAGCCUUGCUCUUAUCACUACCCAGUGUUCUGGAUUUGUGUCUGUUUAUGUGACUCACGGCCUUUCCUCUAAAGGCCUCUGGCUUUGUAAAUCAAAACCUGAUAAAGGACUUUUUUUUUUCUCUACUUUUUGCUCUGUUGUCUCUGCCUUGAGACGUGAAUGUGGGCCAAUUAACAGCUGCCUCAAUUGUCAUUUUCUGUUUUGGUUCAUCAGUGUUGGGAGGAGUGAGUUUUAAGA